rnacentral:rRNA from 1 species
GACAGAGGAUGCAAGCGUUAUCCGGAAUGAUUGGGCGUAAAGCGUCUGUAGGUGGCUUUUCAAGUCCGCCGUGAAAUCCCAGGGCUCAACCCUGGACAGGCGGUGGAAACUACCAAGCUGGAGUACGGUAGGGGCAGAGGGAAUUUCCGGUGGAGCGGUGAAAUGCAUUGAGAUCGGAAAGAACACCAGCGGCGAAAGCGCUCUGCUGGGCCGACACUGACACUGAGAGACGAAAGCUAGGGGAGCAAAUGGG